AGAAAAAAAUAUGGUUAAAAUUCUCAAGUUUAUUCAUAUUAUGAUUAUUUUUCUCAUUUUUAUCAUUGUAACCAACGGUGCAAGUAAUCCUUGUGUAUCUACUAGAGAUUGUACUACUCAUACAUGUAACCCUCCUCUAGUUGCAAGGUGCAUAAAUUUAAGAUGUUAUUGUGGGUAUAAGUAACAAUUAAGUUAAAAAAGAAUUCCAUUAUACUUCUAAGAAUAUAAAUGCAUGUUCAAUUAUAUUGUUGGUACUUUUAUGAUUUUUCCCACAUAUCAAUAUUUGUUUCUCAUCCAUUUGAAAUAAUUGUAAAAUGGUCAAUAGUGCCACUGUUAUCAAUAAUUAUUUUUCUUCUCUUAAUUUGAAUUAAAAAAAUCGGUAUUGGAAAUUUAAAUUUAUUUCAUUGACUCAAUUUUUGUUAAAUUCAUGAGUCAUGCUAUUUCAAGCGAAUUCAUCAGUCUUGAAAAAAAACUGUUUGUGAUCUAUUCAGGAUAAAGAACUUCACGAUAUCGAAUAUUUUCCUAAAAUUAUACAUCAUUUUAAUAAGAGAAGUGCUAUAUAGUACGGGAAUUAUUUUCACGGGAAAUUCACGGACGCUUAGCAAUCUGAUCACGGUUUCUAUUGUUAUGCAGUGCACUAUAUCUCUAUUAUGCAAUUCAGCCAAAGAAAAAGGUGGUCAACACCCACCGUUUCAAUUAAUUUGCUGCACCGUUUGUUUAAUUAAGAAUUCAUUUUAUUAGUGUUAAGAUUAAUUCCCUCAAACAAAAAAAAAUCAGUGUUAAGAUUAAAGAGUGCUAACCUUUCACGACCCAAAAAAAAAAAAGAAUGCUAACCUUUAAACUUUCUUAUAUUAAUUAAAUCACUUACUUUUAAAAAUAAAAAA